UAAGGAAUAUUGGUCAAUGGACGCAAGUCUGAACCGGCCAUGCCGCGUGAAGGAUGAAGGUCCUCUGGAUUGUAAACUUCUUUUAUCUGGGACGAAAACGGGAUUUUUAUCUCAAUUGACGGUACCAGAGGAAUAAGCACCGGCUAACUCCGUGCCAGCAGCCGCGGUAAUACGGAGGGUGCGAGCGUUAUCCGGAUUUACUGGGCGUAAAGGAUGCGUAGGCGGAUACUUAAGUCAGAUGUGAAAAUCCCGGGCUUAACUUGGGAACUGCAUUUGAAACUGGGUAUCUAGAGUGCGGGAGAGGAAAGUGGAAUUCCUAGUGUAGCGGUGAAAUGCGUAGAGAUUAGGAAGAACACCAGUGGCGAAGGCGACUUUCUGGACCGUAACUGACGCUGAGGCAUGAAAGCGUGGGGAGCAAACA
rnacentral:rRNA from 1 species